GUGAAGAAGAUUCUUAAAUGUCACAAUGAGGAAUUAUGAUGUUCCAAGGGGUAAUAAGGAAACAAUAAAGGUUAUUGUUUUUAUUAUCUGAGAGGAAAGGUUUCUGAGCAUGCAAAGGACAUGCUAGGAAAUUAAGACAUUAAAGGAGAAGCAGAGACUUCCAGAAGGAUGGAGACAAAAAAAUAGGACACUUCUACUGACCUUCGUGAGAAUGGCUAGGUAGCUGUCAGAAUAGCCACAUCAGUGAUCUCUGCACAUGUUGCCCCAUGGAAGACUGUAGCAGCACCUAAUCUAAUGGCAGAAUGAUGACAACAAAACACAUCUCAUGUCUGAGAAGAAGCUCCAGUGAUGAGUUCUUUAAAACAGUGAAGACAAGGAAGAAAAAGUAUAAGAUUCCAACACCCACCUGUCCUAUGACUUCAUUCAUGAAAUUCACAAUGGGAACUUAAAAUUUCCCUAGACUUCCCAUUAGAAUUAAAUUGGCUUCAAAAGAGGUAAGAGUCAAGAUGUAACAAAAAAUUUUAUUCUAAUUUGUUCUGAAGUAUGGGUUUUCAAUCAUCAUGAUUCCUUAAAUUAGAAUGGAUCUAUAAAAAUAGAUACAUGCAAACAUUUUUCCCAAUUUUUUCAUGUAAAAGUAUGCAGCCUGCUAUGUAAUGUCACACAUUAAAAUAACACUGGCAUAAAAUGGAGAUAAAAUCCUUUCUCUGGAAAUAAGCAUAUGUUAUUAAAAUUAUAUAUCAUAUGUAGCCAACUACUAGAAAAGACUCCACAUUGAAGUGUUUCAAUUUAGAAUUGACUUAGAGUAUGGUGACAUUGUGCAAUAAAUAUAGGACUAGAAGGCAAGAGACUUGGAUUAUACUUCAAGAUAUUCCUGUAACUUAAUGAAGACUUGAAUAUAGCAUUUACUUUUAUGAGCCUUAAUUUUCUUUUGUGUAAAAUGGAUUAACAUCAUAUGCCUACUUGCCUGUUUCAUAGGUCCUUUAUGAGGUUUGAGUGAAAAUAUCUCUGAAAAGAGCUUUGUCAACUCUAAAAUGAUGUAGAGAAAUAAAAAAUUAAGAAAUGUGCUUUACAUGCAAAGUAUUGUUUGCUGCCAUUCUUUAUCCUCUGAAUAACUCAUGGUGCUAUAUUCAUAAUUGUUUUCAUAUAUUAAUCUUAAUAGUAAGUUAAAAAUAAC
rnacentral:lncRNA from 1 species